GAACCGCUUCCGCAAAGUUUUUCCUUUCCAAGCAUGGAAUGGGCGGAGAGAGAGAGAAAAAGGACCUGACCUCCCAAAGUUAAUAUCACGGGUUGCGCGCUAGCUUUGCGGAAAGGAGGGGGGCAGCUUUUGCAGGACUCGGCGGAGAGGACUGGCAGAUGUCCCAAGCGAGAGAAUCUCUUCCUUCGGGGCCUAAUGGGCCAGAGCGUGCCACUUCGGCGGAAAGCAGCUGCCUAACCUCGCUCUCUUGCGAAAACAAGAAUGAAAACAAAACAGCUGUAGGAGAGAUAAGAGUGCCAGAAUAUUCAAGUAAUCAAAACAUACAAGCAGAUACACAAGACCAGCCCAUUUGGGGAAAUUGCAGUGAUGGUAAUAUUAUCAGAAGUAAGUAUUUGCAAAACAGCAAAGCAAAAAAAAGUUCCUUUUUUUGAGUGGGAAGGAGGGAGUUUAAUGUAAACUUGAAGUUUAAUGUAUUACAAUAUGUUACCAAGUAUAUCACAUUUCUUCCCAAGAAUUAUUUCUGUAAAUUUUCUGUAUUAAAGAGGAGAAACUGUAACACAGAUAAGUUAUAUGGAUGAUUUUAGUUAGGUUCAUAUGUUGUAUUGAAUUAUAAAUCAUUUAUAAAGUAUAAUGGCUAGAUUCACAUAAUGUUCUACCCUAACCAAACAAGUCACAUUGUAAUUUAGGGUGGUAAAUCCAUACAAUAUUUGAAUUGCUGUUUUUAUAAUUAUAGCAAUAUAUGUUAUAUAGUUCUGGUUAUUUUCCAAGAUGACGUAUUUUGUUAAACUGCAACAGAAUUUGUUUGUUUGUGUUUAGUUUAGAGGUCUCCAACCUAUGGGCCACGGGGCUGCGUGAGUGGCUGGCCAGUAUAUGCAUGGACUUAUUUCUUCCGAGAAUCUGCCUGAACUAAUAUGACAUCUCUUAUAUAAGAGAAGGGUCUUAUUAGGGAUUCAUUAAUUUACGGAGCAAUCUUUUUAUUUCUUAUGAGUAACAAGUGCAGAAGUAUUUCAUCAAGAUAAAGUUUUUCUCCUUGUGAAAUGCAGAAACAAAUAAAAAUUCACAAAAUAUAUUAAACAAGAUAUGUAUUAUAAUUCGUGUUAGUUAAGUUUAUAGAAUAAUGUAAACAUUUCUCACAUUAUUUCAUGUAUCAUAUUAUUUUAUAUAUGAUUCCAUCAUGGAUGCAAGUCAAUACUAUCAAGUAAAUAGUGCUCUUGAAAAGGUCAAGCAAAGAUGGUCUUGCUUAAUAUGUGAAUUGGAAAUUAUGAAGAAAUCUCAGAAGUGUAGCUAUACCAGAAAGUCCCAAAAACAAAACAAAACCAUCUUUGGAGAAGAUAAUAGUUUUUGGCAAUACUGUUUUGCCAAAAACAGUACAUGAAAAAAGUGGUGAAAACAGCAUUAAAGA